UCCAGAGACUGAACUCUGUUGUAUCCUGAAGAGAAGGACAUCAAGGUCUCUAAGCUGUCACCAUGACAAUGAUUACAAGGAGCAGCAGAGUAAGGAUGAAGAUUAGUGACAACUGAAGAGAUGAAAAUGCACCGCUUGCUUCAAGCACGAUGCGUAUCAAGCAACUCCUUGGAGAGGAUAUCCAGUGUCCACAGCGAAGCAAACGAUGGAUUAUGGGGACUAUUAUCAGGGUUUUGUACAUGGGCGCCGCAUCAAUAGAUGUCAUUGAGCAAAGCUGACAGAACAUGACCUUUACCAGAGUUCUGAGGUUACUGUUCUCCAGCAGAGGAAGUCAAAAUAGAUGAGUGGAUUAAAUGAGAGCCGACGUCCCCGGAGACUCAUUAGAAUAGGGGAGAGGAAUAAGGAGAAAGAGAGAGAAGGACCGAUCCCAGCUGGACCGACUUCCCUUCA